rnacentral:rRNA from 1 species
AGUGAACGCUGGCGGUAGGCCUAACACAUGCAAGUCGAACGGCAGCACAGUAAGAGCUUGCUCUUACGGGUGGCGAGUGGCGGACGGGUGAGGAAUACAUCGGAAUCUACUUUUUCGUGGGUGAUAACGUAGGGAAACUUACGCUAAUACCGCAUACGACCUACGGGUGAAAGCAGGGGAUCUUCGGACCUUGCGCGAUUGAAUGAGCCGAUGUCGGAUUAGCUAGUUGGCGGGGUAAAGGCCCACCAAGGCGACGAUCCGUAGCUGGUCUGAGAGGAUGAUCAGCCACACUGGAACUGAGACACGGUCCAGACUCCUACGGGAGGCAGCAGUGGGGAAUAUUGGACAAUGGGCGAAAGCCUGAUCCAGCAAUACCGCGUGGGUGAAGAAGGCCUUCGGGUUGUAAAGCCCUGUUGUUGGGAAAGAAAAGCAGCAGGUUAAUACGCGGCUGUUCUGACGGUACCCAAAGAAUAAGCACCGGCUAACUUCGUG